UACAGAGGUCUCAAGCGUUGUUCGGAUUUACUGGGCGUAAAGGGCGCGUAGGCGGCAAUUCAAGUCAGCUGUGAAAUCUCCGGGCUUAACUCGGAACGGUCAGCUGAUACUGCUUUGCUAGAGUGCAGAAGGGGCAACUGGAAUUCUCGGUGUAGCGGUGAAAUGCGUAGAUAUCGAGAGGAACACCUGCGGCGAAGGCGGGUUGCUGGGCUGACACUGACGCUGAGGAGCGAAAGCGUGGGGAGCGAACAGG
rnacentral:rRNA from 1 species